CAAACUGCCAUCUACCUCAUCUGAGGUCGACCUUGUAAAAGUUGGGGGGUUUUACGGCGGGCCGCACCGCUCUCCGCCUGCGAGGUGGUUUUAGUACUACGCAGGGGAGGCUACAGCGUGGUCGCCACUGGAUUUAGGGGCCGGCCUCCCACCGGAGUGGGUGUGGCCGAUCCCCAACACCGCCCCCGACAGAAGCCGGGCGCGAGGGUCGAAACGACGCUCAGACAGGCAUGCCCGCCAGAAUACUGGCGGGCGCAAUGUGCGUUCAAAGAUUCGAUGAUUCACUGAAUUCUGCAAUUCGCAUUACUUAUCGCAUUUCGCUGCGUUCUUCAUCGAUGCUAGAGCCAAGAGAUCCGUUGUUGAAAGUUUUAAUUUUGAUUUUGUAAAUCACACUCAGAGUACUCAAACGGUAAAUACAGAGGUUUCGGUCCCCCGGCGGGCGCCUGGUUCCGGGGCACAACCCCCUGGAGGGGGUGCGCCCGGGGCGUAUCCGCCGAAGCAACAGUGGUAUAGGUUCACAGUGGGUUUGGGAGUUUUGCAACUCGGUAAUGAUCCCUCCGCAGGUUCACCCUGCGAGGGAUCAUUACCGAGUUGCAAAACUCCAAACCACUGUGAACUAUACACUGUUGCUUGGCGGAUACGCCGGGCGCCCCUCGGGGGUUGUGCCGGAACGGCCGCGGGGGACGAAACUCUGUAUUUACGUUUGAGUACUCUGAGUGUGAUUUACAAAAUCAAAAUUAAAACUUUCACACGGAUCUCUUGGCUCUAGCAUCGAUGAGAACGCAGCGAAUGCGAUAAGUAAUGCGAAUUGCAGAAUUCGUGAAUCAUGAAUCUUUGAACGCCCAUUGCGCGCAGUAUUCUGGCGGCAUGCUGUCUGACGUGUUUCACCUGCCCGCCUCUGUUCGGGGCGUGUUUGGAUCGCCACCACUCGUGGAAGCGCUAAUUCUGGGACACCGUAAUCCUUGGGAUGUAAACUUAGGGAGGGUGAGGCCUACCCACUUACGGUCCUUAUGGAUCCGUAUACAUUCCGGAGG
rnacentral:rRNA from 1 species